CCACUCCACAGACGCCUCCCUCCCUAACUCUCUCUCUCACUUCACUCCAUUCCCAGGUAAUUCGACCCCUCCCUCCCUCCUCCUUUCUCUCUUUCUCACUCACCCUCUCCUUUUUCGUUUAUGAUUUCCCCCAAAGUACUUUGAAACUUAGGAAUUUUAUACUGUUUCAAAUCCUAGGUUUAAAAAAAUUAAUGUGAACUGAAUCAAGUUGCCCUCUUUCUUUUCUUUCUCAAUUUCUUUAAUUUCUAGGUCUCAUUUUCCAAUUUCCGUAGUUGCUGAUGGAGUUGUAUAGAGGUAAUGUGACUUCCACUUUCAAAAUCAAACAUGUUUCUGAAAUGCAGCUGUACAUUCGAUGUUUGUAUGCUUUUUGAAGAAUCCAAGCAAUAGAAAGAAAAAAUCAUAAACCAAAUCAUAGAUGAUAUGAAAUAGCUAUUCAAGAAUCUGUAAUAGGUAAACGCUCAAAUCAUAGAUGAUAGUCUUGAAUGGAUUUUUAAGAAAAAUGGCCCAAAAAUCAAAUAAUAUGAAAGGAAAUUUAAGAAAAAAUGCCCCAAAAAUUGGACUUUUAUUGUCAUGAUUUUGUGAUUGAUGAUAGUCUUGAAUUUCAAGUCUAAUGAAUUCCUUCUACUUAGCCACAGUAAAUGAAGCAACAAUUGUUCCUUUUGUCAGUGGCCAAGUACGUAUGCUUUCGUAUCUUUCUGGUGUAAUAUAUUUAUGUAGAUGCAUUUCCAGUACUGUAAAAUUUGGUAAUCUAUGACCAUGAAAGACAUAAAAUUUUGUAUAAAUUUUGUUGCAGUUGAAUAAUCUUGAGCUUGUUGUCAAUCUUGCCAAAAAAGGAAACCUUCCUGGUGCUGAGAAUUUGGUAAGUUAAAAUCAUGUUUCUCAAGUCACUAUCUUUUAAAUUGAUUUCUUGAUUGGAUGGAGAUUAGAAUGUCAAAUGGUGGGAUCUCUUGCCUCUGAAAACUUUUCAUACUUCUAACUAGUAUGUGCUACAAAUCAUGAUUUUUGCUCUUCAACAUGCAUCUCUUUUUUCUAGAUCAAAUGUGGACUUAGUUAAUUGGUUGUAUUGAUAUCAUCUUCUAGAACAAUAUUUGAUAAGGCUAAUGACUUUAUAUUACCUAAACUCUCUUACUUUGAUUGGUGUGGUUAGAAGUUGGUAAAUUUAUUAAAAGCAGUGGUUGUGAUGGAUUCAGCAUGUUGAAAAAACUCUUUUAUGAACCUUAUCUGAU
rnacentral:lncRNA from 1 species